rnacentral:rRNA from 1 species
UAACAAGGAUUCCCUCAGUAACGGCGAGUGAAGCGGGAAGAGCUCAAAUUUAAAAUCUGGUUUACUUGUAAGCCCGAGUUGUAGUCUGAAGAAACGUUUUCCAUAAGCACUGAGGCAAAAGUCCCUUGGAACAGGGCAUCAUAGAGGGUGAGAAUCCCGUCCAUGGUCUCAAGUUGUUUAUUUUGUGAUACGUUUUCAAAGAGUCAGGUUGUUUGGGAAUGCAGCCUAAAAUGGGUGGUAAAUUUCAUCUAAAGCUAAAUAUUGGCGAGAGACCGAUAGCGAACAAGUACCGUGAGGGAAAGAUGAAAAGAACUUUGAAAAGAGAGUUAAACAGUACGUGAAAUUGUUGAAAGGGAACCGUUUGAAGCCAGUCUUACUUGCUCGUGAUCAAUUUUUGCCUCGGCAUGAAUGCACUCUCGGGUAUGGUAGGCCAACGACAGUUUAGAAUGCGAGAAAAAAAUUUGAGAAAUGUGGCCUUCGGGUGUUAUAGUCUCUUGUAAAAUAUCGUGUUCUGGACUGAGGAUCGCAGCAAAAAUGUGGGCAGGUGGAUUUCUGUGGUAACUGUCGGUUAGGACAACUUGUUGACCUAGUCUUCCUUAGCCUCACUAUUUACCUUGCUUCUAAUUUGCUUAGGUCGUUGGCAUAAUGGCUUUAAAUGA